UUAAAAAGCUCGUAGUUGGAUUUCUGGUAGGAGUGAACCUGGCCCUGCAUUUUUGCAGGUUGUCCGUGUGUUCACUCUGGCCAUCCUCGUGUUUUGAUUUAUUAGAACACGUCGUUUACUGUGAAAAAAUUAGAGUGUUUAAAGCAGAAGUUUGCUUCGGAAUACAUUAGCAUGGAAUAAUAAGAUAGGACUUUGGUGCUAUUUUGUUGGUUUGCACACCAAGGUAAUGAUUAAUAGGGACAGUUGGGGGUAUUCGUAUUCAAUUGUCAGAGGUGAAAUUCUUGGAUUUAUGGAAGACGAACUACUGCGAAAGCAUUUACCAAGGAUGUUUUCAUUAAUCAAGAACGAAAGUUAGGGGAUCGAAGAUGAUUAGAUACCAUCGUAGUCUUAACCAUAAACUAUGCCGACUUGGGAUUGGCAGGUGUUACUUUUUGAUGACCCUGCCAGCACCACAUGAGAAAUCAAAGUCUUUGGGUUCCGGGGGGGAGUAUGGG
rnacentral:rRNA from 1 species